UACGGGGGGGGCAAGCGUUGUUCGGAAUUACUGGGCGUAAAGGGCGCGUAGGCGGUUCGCUAAGUUGGAUGUGAAAACUCUGGGCUCAACCCAGAGCCUGCAUCCAAAACUGGCGGGCUAGAGUUCUGGAGGGGGUAGCGGAAUUCCUGGUGUAGAGGUGAAAUUCGUAGAUAUUAGGAAGAACACCAGUGGCGAAGGCGGCUCACUGGCCCGGUACUGACGCUGAGGCGCGAAAGCGUGGGGAGCAAACAGG
rnacentral:rRNA from 1 species